rnacentral:tRNA from 1 species
GGGCCAGUAGCUCAGCUUGGACAGAGCGACUGUCAAAAGCUGUAGGUCGUGGGUUCGAAUCCCCCCUGGCCCG